UAUCAUAGACUGUCUAUGUGGAUUAUGGGAUUACCCGGGAUUACCUCAGAGCGCAGUGCGCGUGCGAUUCAGUCUGGCAUUAACCGUUAUUUUCAAGAACGAGCUGUGAAAUUCCCUUACUGAAUGCCGUUUUAAGAUCGUCGUUGUGUUCGUUCGAGUGUUGAAGUUGUGUGCGUCCAGAGAGAAAAUCACACACAUAUGCUGAUUCACUUCUAUGGACAUAAAGCACUUCUAUGGACAUAAAAAACGAUACAGAGAUUCCUUCUCCGACUUUGGUGUUCUAAUCGGCACACCCGUAUCAGCUUCAUCUUAUUAGCAACAGCUAGCACCUUAGUUACAAAUUUAUUUAUAUUUUGCACAUUUAAAAUGACAUAAAAAUGACAAUGAUAAUAAUAACAAAACAUAAAAUAUAUAAACAAAAUAAGGCAAAUAUGAUGUGCAGGAAGAGGCAAAAAAAACAAAUGGGCUUCUCCGUAAAGGUAAUUACUCUGGUGCUGAUGCUCCGUGUAAAGGACACAAUCUGGCAACUAUUGAAGCAAACAUAGUUUGUGCUAUGAGGAAAAACUCUACUGUGCACACAGAGAACAGAGCUCAAUGCUGCUAACUGGGGGAGCAGCUGGACAACUAGAAGAGAGAAUAGUAGAACACUAUUAAUACAGAUUCCUGGAUUAUUCUUCUGCAAGAACCAAGACAAGCAAAGACUGAUGAUGAGUGCUCUGAGCAAACACCGCAGUCAAGACGCAUGAGUGACUUUACGGAGUUCUACAUGUAAUGUUGGGCAUUUACUGUACGCAGAACUUCUAGUAAUUUAUGUGGAUGCCAUUCAUUAACCUGAUUUUGAUGUUUUAGUUUUGAGAUUAAUAAAAUUGUAU